GACAGAGGGUGCAAACGUUGCUCGGAAUUACUGGGCGUAAAGCGCGUGUAGGCGGGAAGAUAAGUCGGGUGUGAAAUCCCUGGGCUCAACCUAGGAACUGCAUCCGAAACUGCCUUUCUGGAGUGAUGGAGAGGAGAGCGGAAUUCCCGGUGUAGAGGUGAAAUUCGUAGAUAUCGGGAGGAACACCAGUGGCGAAGGCGGCUCUCUGGCCAUCAACUGACGCUGAGACGCGAAAGCGUGGGGAGCAAACAGGAUUAGAAACCCCCGUAGUCC
rnacentral:rRNA from 1 species